rnacentral:rRNA from 1 species
GAAUAUUGGACAAUGGGGGGAACCCUGAUCCAGCCAUGCCGCGUGUGUGAAGAAGGCCUUUUGGUUGUAAAGCACUUUAAGCGAGGAGGAGGCUACCCUAGUUAAUACCUAGGGAUAGUGGACGUUACUCGCUGAAUAAGGCCCCGCUAACUCUUUGCCAGUCGCCGCGGUAAUACAGAGGGUGCAAGCGUUAAUGGGAUUUACUGGGCGUAAAGCGCGCGUAGGUGGCCAAUUAAGUCAAAUGUGAAAUCCCCGAGCUUAACUUGGGAAUUGCAUUCGAUACUGGUUGGCUAGAGUAUGGGAGAGGAUGGUAGAAUUCCAGGUGUAGCGGUGAAAUGCGUAGAGAUCUGGAGGAAUACCGAUGGCGAAGGCAGCCAUCUGGCCUAAUACUGACACUGAGGUGCGAAAGCAUGGGGAGCAAACA